rnacentral:rRNA from 1 species
GCAAGUCGAGCGCGCCCUUCGGGGUGAGCGGCGGACGGGUGAGUAACGCGUGGGAAUAUACCCUUUACUACGGAAUAGCCUCGGGAAACUGAGAGUAAUACCGUAUACGCCCUUCGGGGGAAAGAUUUAUCGGUAAAGGAUUAGCCCGCGUUAGAUUAGAUAGUUGGUGGGGUAAUGGCCUACCAAGUCUACGAUCUAUAGCUGGUUUGAGAGGAUGAUC